GUGGCUCCUCGGGUGGCGGUGGUACCACCUUAAAGGCAUUCGUUGGCACCGCACACGGAUCGAAGACCAGACUCACCAGCUGUGGAACCCUUUGGGAUUUCAUUUGAAACGUUAGGAGCGUAGGAAAUACAACACCCUCUGGAAGGCCCCACUCCUUGUACCAGCCCAAUUUGCUUUGGUAUACGGGCAACUUUUCUGGCUGGUUAUCGCCAUCGUACCAAACCUGCAAAUAGGUGGCCGGAUAGGAACCAUUGUAGGUGGCCAUUCCGAGGACCACCAUCUCCGGUAUCCUGGGCCUCCGGUCGUAGUAUGCCCCAUAGAGAUAGUAAGAUAGAUUUUCAUGCCUUGUUAGCUGGAAGUAGGGAUUCGGAAACUCGAUGUCUUCGUAGCGGGGAUACGGGGCACACUGGUCAGCCCGCAGACGCACCCAGUCCACGUCCUCUUUGCUCCGCAACAGUUCCUCCAGAUUCGG
ensembl:ncRNA asRNA:CR44840 antisense RNA:CR44840